rnacentral:rRNA from 1 species
AUGAACGCUGGCGGCGUGCUUAACACAUGCCAGUCGCACGAGAAAUGGAGACGGAAACCUUCGGGCGGAAGGCUUCAUUUCGAGUGGCGGACGGGUGAGUAACGCGUGGGUAACCUGCCUCAUACAGGGGGAUAACAGUUGGAAACGACUGUUAAUACCGCAUAAGACCACAGCACCGCAUGGUGCGGGGGUAAAAACUCCGGUGGUAUGAGAUGGACCCGCGUUCGAUUAGCCAGUUGGCGGGGUAACGGCCCACCAAAGCGACGAUCGAUAGCCGAUCUGAGAGGAUGACCGGCCACAUUGGGACUGAGACACGGCCCAAACUCCUACGGGAGGCAGCAGUGGGGAAUAUUGCACAAUGGGGGAAACCCUGAUGCAGCGACGCCGCGUGAGUGAAGAAGUACUUCGGUAUGUAAAGCUCUAUCAGCAGGGAAGAAAAUGACGGUACCUGAGUAAGAAGCCCCGGCUAACUACGUG